CGGGACUGGGUGAGUAACGCGUGAGGAACCUGCCUUUCGGAGGGGGACAACAGUUGGAAACGACUGCUAAUACCGCAUGAUACAUUUGGGCCGCAUGGUCUGAAUGUCAAAGAUUUAUCGCCGAAAGAUGGCCUCGCGUCUGAUUAGCUAGUUGGUGGGGUAACGGCCCACCAAGGCGACGAUCAGUAGCCGGACUGAGAGGUUGGCCGGCCACAUUGGGACUGAGAUACGGCCCAGACUCCUACGGGAGGCAGCAG
rnacentral:rRNA from 1 species